UACGUAGGGGGCGAGCGUUGUCCGGAGUUACUGGGCGUAAAGCGCACGCAGGCGGUCUGCUAAGUUUGGAGUGACAGUUGGUGGCUUAACUGCCAAAGUGCUUCGAAAACUGACAGACUUGAGGGCUUCAGAGGGACACGGAAUUCCGGGUGGAGUGGUGAAAUGCGCAGAGAUCCGGAGGAACACCAAAGGCGAAGGCAGUGUCCUGGGGAGUACCUGACGCUCAGGUGCGAAAGCCAGGGGAGCGAACGGG
rnacentral:rRNA from 1 species